rnacentral:rRNA from 1 species
UACAUUAGCAUGGGAUAAUGGAAUAGGACCCUGUCCUCCUAUUUUCAGUUGGUUUUGGCAGCGCGAGGACUAGGGUAAUGAUUAAUAGGGAUAGUUGGGGGCAUUAAUAUUUAAUUGUCAGAGGUGAAAUUCUUGGAUUUAUGAAAGAUUAACUUCUGCGAAAGCAUCUGCCAAGGAUGUUUUCAUUAAUCAAGAACGAAAGUUAGGGGAUCGAAGACGAUCAGAUACCGUCGUAGUCUUAACCAUAAACGAUGCCGACCAGCGAUUAGGAGACGUUGAAUACAAAACACCACCAUCGGUGCGGUCGUCCUUGGCGUCGGUCUUUCGGGGCCGGCGCGGGGACGGCUUAGCCCGGUGGCACCGGUGAAUGACUCCC